CGGGGAAUUUUGGGCAAUGGCCGCAAGGCUGACCCAGCGACGCCGCGUGCGGGAGGACGCCUUUCGGGGUGUAAACCGCUGUCAGGGGGGACGAACCGCCGGACGUCGAACAGGCUUACGGUCUGACGGUACCCUCAAAGGAAGCGCCGGCUAACUCCGUGCCAGCAGCCGCGGUAAGACGGAGGGCGCAAGCGUUGUUCGGAAUCACUGGGCGUAAAGCGCGCGCAGGCGGUAUGUCAAGUCAGGGGUGAAAGGCCUGGGCUCAACCCAGGAAUUGCCUUUGAAACUGGCAAACUAGAGUCCGAAAGAGGAUGGCGGAAUUCCCAGUGUAGAGGUGAAAUUCGUAGAUAUUGGGAAGAACACCGGUGGCGAAGGCGGCCAUCUGGAUCGGCACUGACGCUGAGGCGCGAAAGCGUGGGGAGCAA
rnacentral:rRNA from 1 species